rnacentral:rRNA from 1 species
GACAGAGGGCGCAAACGUUGCUCGGAAUUACUGGGCGUAAAGCGCGUGUAGGCGGUCACGCAAGUCAGGUGUGAAAGCCCAGGGCUCAACCCUGGAAGUGCAGAUGAUACUACGUGGCUGGAGUACUGAAGAGGAGAGCGGAAUUCCCGGUGUAGAGGUGAAAUUCGUAGAUAUCGGGAGGAACACCAGUGGCGAAGGCGGCUCUCUGGGCAGAUACUGACGCUGAGACGCGAAAGCGUGGGUAGCAAACAGG